AGCAUGGCCAAGCGCUGAUGAUACACAGCUAUUUUAUUUAGAGGGGAAAGAAAUAGGGCAUAUCAUUCAAAGGGCUUCCCCGUGCAGAUCAAAGCCAAUCCUGCUCUUGGUUUCUGAGUUCUGAGAUCACAACGUGUUUGUUCUGUGCUGAUUGCAAACAGCACUUCUCAGUCGUGCUGUGAUCUCCUGUGAGAGUUUGGGAUUGUCAGACACUACAAACUUGAGGCCAGAUGCACAAAAGGACUUAGGAAUUGAGCAUCAGGAUUAGCUCGCAGGUGUCUGGCUUCUACCAUGGCCUCCACAGCCUGGGGUUCAGUGCCCCACUUGCUGUAGGUAGAGCUUCAUUAGGUGUGGAGAUUGCUCCCAGCGCAGAGCACUCCACAUGUCAGUGGUUGCUCAGGACAUCCUCCUAAAAGGUGGGAGGUGUGGGCUGGCAUCCCCACAGGCUAUGAGGGGCAAGGUUACUGUGUGAAAGGGGAGUAGCAUCACUUCCUCUGGCCACAUUGCUGUUUUGUGCAGAGCCCAGUCCUGCCUGCAUGCGUUAGGUAUGCACCAAGCAUGGCAGGUGAGGUUCUUUGGGUAAAUCCAGCGUCUGAUAUACCUGGGCACCAUGGAGCGCUUCAGCAGGUGAAUACAUGAUUUGAAGAUCCUGAUUGUGCUCAGGCAUGAGACGUGCUAGUGUGUCCAGCCCUGCUGAGACGGUGUCAGUGGUUUUGAGGAUGGCAUUGCUGGAUGUAGCCACCUAAAUUCCAUCUGCAUCCCAUUUUAGACACCUAAGGCCUUUGGAGGAUUGAGGCUUGUGUGUUCACUGUGAAAAUGCUGUACCAUUGUGGAAAUGCAGGAGAAGUAAAAAGUGCAAAUAGCUAGAAACAGUCUCAAAAGAAAAAUGGAAGUGACUGCCCAUGUCAUUAUCCAAGUGGAGCAGCAGAAAAGGGGGUGGGAGGAGACUGUUGUUUUUUUCUUUUUUGUUCUAAUUUUUUUCAGAUACAGCAAAUGGCAAAACCGGCUAAAAAGUAUCCAGUGCAGACCUACAGUUGCUUGGUAAUAAUACCUGCCACUACGUUGUAUCCCUUGGACCUGAUAGCCCAACUACAAUGAGCCUCAAAAUGAUAACGAGGAGCCCUUACGACUUCAUCUACAGGGCUGCUCAACACGGGUUUGAAUUUGUGAGGUUUUUUGUCCGUGUUGCUGCGAUCCGUUCUCCCCCCACCCGUCGGAGUCACUGACACGGUUGUAUGGAUGUUCGUUAAGGAGAGGCCCAGCAGCAUGAGAGGCAGGGUUUGCUACGCUGGAGUCGGAGCACACAACCGAGACAGCAGUCUUCUGAUUCACAGAGUUUCCAAACGUGUUACUCCCUAUCCAUACUCCCAGGACAGCUCCUUAGUAAUGUGUGUGGGGUGGGGGAGUGUGAACAAACCACGGAAACACAUUACAGAGAUUUUAUUCUCGCUAAAGCUGAACAACUCCGGAGGUCAGCCAAAUAUAACUGAAAGUAUUGCUGACAUGCUUUGGUGUAAAUGUGCUCGUUCAAAUUGACACUGAACUUCCAGCAAUCCGUGGAUAUGGAGGCACUGGCAUAAAGCAAACUUGUUAAAAAUUCUGUAAACGAAUUAUUUAGCAGUUCUUUAGAUUGCAAAGAAAAAUGUUUUAUUUCUACAGGAGCUAAGCCAAGAGUUAGCUAAAACACGAGCCUUGAUUAGACCUCGGGGCUCCAGUUUCAGGUUUCCUCUAAAUAAUUUUCGUUAAAAAAUUACAUUUGUUAUCUUUGCUUGCUUUUUUAACAGAAUGUCUCUCUCUGUCUCUCUCUCAUCUGACUCUGCUUUACCAAAGAUUUGAAUUCAUAUGUUUCCUUUUACAAAAGUUCUUCCUUCACUUUCUGUGGAAACACUGACGUUUUAAAAUUAAAUACGCUUUUCUCUUAGCA